AGGAUGAUAGAACAAUGAACAACAAUCAAAUUUUUGUGAACAUAAAGACCAAUGAACUAGCUACAUAUAGAUUUAAGAAAAAAGGACCAAAAAUACCCUUCAACUAUAUUAAACAGAGUAAUUAUACCCUUCUUUUGAUUUUGGUCCAAAUAAUAUCUCACAAUUGCCGGUUCCCAGGUGGACCGUUAAACUGUUGAAAGGACAAGUAUACGAAUGCCAACUGUUCUUCAGAGAAACCCGACAGGAAAACGAACCAAAAUAUCAGAAGAAGAUCUUUCAAACCAUUGCAAAACUGGAAAACUGGCAGAUGGUAGAGCUUUUCUGAUAUUGAUGAUACUGAAAGACUCAAAGACCUGUAUGCCUGUACCGAUAAGAACAAGAAGGAAGCCAAAGAAGCGGUGAUUGCCAGUUUUUUCAAAGUGGUUGAUAUAAUCCAAGUGAAGCUAAUAAAAAUUAGAUAGAAAAGACAAUAUUACCCUUGAAGAGUGAGGCAGACAUGUCGUCCAGGUAUCUGCUAACUCUCCAUAUUAGCACACAUCUGGACGACAUGUCUGCUUGUUAGCUGCUACUAAAGGGUAUUUUGGUUAUUACUCCUAAAUUUUCCUGAUAGCUAACGCGUG
rnacentral:lncRNA from 1 species